AAUAGAAAAGUGUAUUAGCGCACGUGGAGCUUUGAUCUCUAAAGAAAUAAUUCGCUUUAUUUUCUAUUA
rnacentral:tRNA from 1 species